rnacentral:tRNA from 1 species
AAUAAGGUGCCUGAUCAAAGGGCUAUUUUGAUAGAAUAGAUCACGUAUUUUUAUACCCUUAUUA